rnacentral:rRNA from 1 species
UGCAGUCGAGGGGCAGCAUGUCCCGACGCAAGUCGGGAUGAUGGCGACCGGCAAACGGGUGCGGAACACGUACAGAACCUUCCUUCGAGCGGGGAAUAGCCCAGAGAAAUUUGGAUUAAUACCCCAUAGUAUAUUGAAGAGGCAUCUCUUUAAUAUUAAAGAUUUAUCACUUGAAGAUGGCUGUGCGGCUGAUUAGAUAGUUGGCGGGGUAACGGCCCACCAAGUCUACGAUCAGUAACUGGUGUGAGAGCACGACCAGUCACACGGGCACUGAGACACGGGCCCGACUCCUACGGGAGGCAGCAGUAAGGAAUAUUGGGCAAUGGAGGCAACUCUGACCCAGCCAUGCCGCGUGGAGGAUGAAGGCCCUCUGGGUUGUAAACUUCUUUUAUUUGGGACGAAAAAGGGCUUUUCUAAGUCAACUGACGGUACCAGAUGAAUAAGCACCGGCUAACUCCGUGCCAGCAGCCGCGGUAAUACGGAGGGUGCAAGCGUUAUCCGGAUUCACUGGGUUUAAAGGGUGCGUAGGUGGGUUGGUAAGUCAGUGGUGAAAUCCCCGAGCUUAACUUGGGAACUGCCAUUGAUACUAUCAGUCUUGAAUAUUGUGGAGGUCAGCGGAAUAUGUCAUGUAGCGGUGAAAUGCUUAGAUAUGACAUAGAACACCAAUUGCGAAGGCAGCUGGCUACACAUAUAUUGACACUGAGGCACGAAAGCGUGGGGAUCAAACAGGAUUAGAUACCCUGGUAGUCCACGCCCUAAACUAUGGAUACUCGACAUACGCGAUACACAGUGUGUGUCUGAGCGAAAGCAUUAAGUAUCCCACCUGGGAAGUACGAUCGCAAGAUGAAACUCAAAGGAAUUGGCGGGGGUCCGCACAAGCGGUGAGCAUGUGGUUUAAUUCGAUGA